AUAGGCUAAGUGUAGCGAACCUGGAGAACUGAAACAUCUAAGUAUCCAGAGGAAAAGAAAUCAACCGAGAUUCCCAAAGUAGUGGCGAGCGAACUGGGAUCAGCCUUCAAUAUUUAGUAUUUGAAUUAGUCAAAUUUUCUGGAAAGUUAAACCAUAGUGGGUGAUAGUCCCGUAGGCGAAAAUUCAAAUAUAGAACUAAGAUUGAGAUAAGUAGGGCGGGACACGUGAAAUCCUGUUUGAAGAUAGGGGGACCAUCCUCUAAGGCUAAAUACUCGUAAUCGACCGAUAGUGAACCAGUACCGUGAGGGAAAGGCGAAAAGAACCCCGGAAGGGGAGUGAAAUAGAUCCUGAAACCGCAUGCAUACAAACAGUGGGAGCCCGCAAGGGUGACUGCGUACCUUUUUGUAUAAUGGGGUCAGCGACUUACAUUCAGUAGCAAGCUUAACCGGAUAGGGGAGGCGCAGCGAAAGCGAGU
rnacentral:rRNA from 1 species